AUUGAACGCUGGCGGAAUGCUUUACACAUGCAAGUCGAACGGCAGCACGGACUUCGGUCUGGUGGCGAGUGGCGAACGGGUGAGUAAUACAUCGGAACGUGCCGAGUCGUGGGGGAUAACGUAGCGAAAGCUACGCUAAUACCGCAUACGAUCUACGGAUGAAAGCGGGGGAUGGCACGACCUAGCGCGAUUGGAGCGGCCGAUGGCAGAUUAGGUAGUUGGUAGGGUAAAGGCCUACCAAGCCGACGAUCUGUAGCUGGUCUGAGAGGAUGAUCAGCCACACUGGGACUGAGACACGGCCCAGACUCCUACGGGAGGCAGCAGUGGGGAAUUUUGGACAAUGGACGCAAGUCUGAUCCAGCCAUUCCGCGUGCAGGAUGAAGGCCCUCGGGUUGUAAACUGCUUUUGUACAGAACGAAAAGGCUCUGGUUAAUACCUGGGGCUCAUGACGGUACUGUAAGAAUAAGCACCGGCUAACUACGUGCCAGCCGCCGCGGUAA
rnacentral:rRNA from 1 species